GUGUCCCUUUCCAGCAGAGGGCAGAAGUUCUGCAAGAUGACCUGGGAAUAAAGUUGGCCAAGAAGCCUCCGAGGGGAGAUCGGCGUGUGAGGUGGAGAGCCCCGCGUCUACAUGAGGUGUGAGAUCCCAACAGGUUGACAAUGGAAGCAGAGCUGAGAAUCCGGUCAUCUUAUAUUAAGCCAGAUGCUAAAAAGGUUUGAAAAAAUCAAUGGACUCAGGCUGGUCUCCAACUCCUGACCUUAGGUGAUCCGCGUCGGCCUCCCAAAGUUCUUGGAUUACAGGCGUGAGCCACCGCACCCAGCCAGGCAGACUGAUUUCAAUUCUUUUGGUUAUACACCCAGUAGAGAGAUGGCGGGAUCACAUGCAGAAGCAGCUUCCUCCUAGAAACUACACAGUAGUGGUUUGGUCA
rnacentral:lncRNA from 10 species